CAGAACAGCAGCCCCAACAGUGCCAGCCGAUCCAGGUCCGUUCCAGCAGUAGGCCAGCAUCCAGCCCAGCUCCCAGCGGCCCGAUCUGCAGAAAAGAAAAAGAAAAAAGAGAAAAGGCCCAUUUUCAAGCCCAUAACUUUGGGCUUUUGACAUCUCAUUAGGAAGGUGUUGGUUAAAUAUUGGUUGCCAAAAACGGGUUUCUGAUGGAGGAGUCAAUUACACGAGUAACCAAGAAAAAUGUUGUAGUUCGAGAUUGGUCUUUGAGAACCCAAAAAGCAAAAGGAGAAGGAUAUACCUCCGAUCUUCCUGAGCAUGCGACUUCGAAUGCUUGACAGAAUAACCUCGAAGACUUGACUAGGAUCGGGAAACAAUAGGACUAAAACAGUAGGGGCAUUUUCAUUGGCAAAAUAUUUUGUAAUGGACUCUUUUGAUUAAUGAAACACCUAAUUAUGGGGCUA